rnacentral:rRNA from 1 species
UUCACGCUGUCGGUUCGCCGCCCGUCGGUGUCAACUGGCAUGUCCUGUGGAACGUCCUGCCGGUGGCGGACCGGGCUUUCGGCUUGCGUAAGGGCUUACGCCCGAAGCAGGCCGAACAGUACCGGCCGCCGGUCCAAUCCCGCCACGGUGCUCUUCACCGAGUGUCGAGGUGGGCCGGCACGUUUACUUUGAACAAAUUAGAGUGCUUAAAGCAGGCUGGUGUCCGCCUGAAUACUGUGUGCAUGGAAUAAUAGAAUAGGACCUCGGUUCUAUUUUGUUGGUUUUCGGAACCCGAGGUAAUGAUUAAUAGGGACAGGCGGGGGCAUUCGUAUUGCGACGUUAGAGGUGAAAUUCUUGGAUCGUCGCAAGACGAACCUAAGCGAAAGCAUUUGCCAAGUAUGUUCUCGUUAAUCAAGAACGAAAGUUAGAGGUUCGAAGGCGAUCAGAUACCGCCCUAGUUCUAACCAUAAACGAUGCCAGCCAGCGAUCCGCCGAAGUUCCUCCGAUGACUCGGCGGGCAGCUUCCGGGAAACCAAAGCUUUUGGGUUCCGGGGGAAGUAUGGUUGCAAAGCUGAAACUUAAAGGAAUUGACGGAAGGGCACCACCAGGAGUGGAGCCUGCGGCUUAAUUUGACUCAACACGGGAAACCUCACCAGGCCCGGACCCCGGAAGGAUUGACAGAUUGAGAGCUCUUUCUUGAUUCGGUGGGUGGCUGGUGUCAGA